rnacentral:sRNA from 1 species
UCCAGAAUCAUGGACGGACAGAGGAUGCACUUGUCCAAUCCUCAAUCCUGUUCAACAGCUAAGGCCAAAGAAAGCUGAUAAGAAAACUGAAACCUUACACGCCAACCUGCUUCCUUGGCUACUUUGGAAAAGAAACAAUCCUAUUGGGUAUCCCUGCAUAUUCAUUCUUAAUUCAUGCAUACAUUUACUCAUUCAUCAGUCAUAUAUUUUAGAACACCAAAACUAGGACUAAAGUAUUGUAUUUUCUUUUUCUAUGGAUACAAAAUAAACUUCGUGUUCUCAA